rnacentral:rRNA from 1 species
AUUGAACGCUGGCGGCAUGCCUUACACAUGCAAGUCGAACGGCAGCGCGGGAGCAAUCCUGGCGGCGAGUGGCGAACGGGUGAGUAAUAUAUCGGAACGUGCCCAGUAGUGGGGGAUAGCCCGGCGAAAGCCGGAUUAAUACCGCAUGAGACCUGAGGGUGAAAGCGGGGGACCGUAAGGCCUCGCGCGAUUGGAGCGGCCGAUGUCGGAUUAGCUAGUUGGUAGGGUAAAGGCCUACCAAGGCGACGAUCCGUAGCGGGUCUGAGAGGAUGAUCCGCCACACUGGGACUGAGACACGGCCCAGACUCCUACGGGAGGCAGCAGUGGGGAAUUUUGGACAAUGGGCGAAAGCCUGAUCCAGCCAUGCCGCGUGAGUGAAGAAGGCCUGGUGUAAGACGUCUUUCUAGCCGGAAACGGAAAUACGCGCAGGAGUAAUAACUCUGCGUGGAGUGACGGUACCGGAAGAAGAAG